GAUGAACGCUGGCGGCGUGCCUAAUACAUGCAAGUCGAACGAAACUUCUUUAUCACCGAGUGCUUGCACUCACCGGUAAAGGGUUGAGUGGCGAACGGGUGAGUAACACGUGGGCAACCUGCCCAAAAGAGGGGGAUAACACUUGGAAACAGGUGCUAAUACCGCAUAACCAUAGUUACCGCAUGGUAGCUAUGUAAAAGGUGGCUAUGCUACCGCUUUUGGAUGGGCCCGCGGCGCAUUAGCUAGUUGGUGGGGUAAAGGCUUACCAAGGCAAUGAUGCGUAGCCGAACUGAGAGGUUGAUCGGCCACAUUGGGACUGAGACACGGCCCAA
rnacentral:rRNA from 1 species